UACGAAGGGGGCUAGCGUUGUUCGGAAUUACUGGGCGUAAAGGGCUCGUAGGCGGCCAACUAAGUCAGACGUGAAAUCCCUCGGCUUAACCGGGGAACUGCGUCUGAUACUGGAUGGCUUGAGAUUGGGAGAGGGUAGCGGAAUUCCCGGUGUAGUGGUGGAAUGCGUAGAGAUCGGGAGGAACACCAGUGGCGAAGGCGGCUACCUGGACCUCGGCUGACGCUGAGGCGCGAAAGCGUGGGGAGCGAUCCGG
rnacentral:rRNA from 1 species